ensembl:lncRNA novel transcript
UGUUUCCACAGUACUUUCAGUUUCUCUUCGUUUUGUUUUUCUUUUAUUUUUCUUGCUCCUCUUUCUACACACUGAAGUUGCUGUUGUUUUACAUUUACCUUUUAUUUAUUUGUAGUUUUUGAGGCAGGUUGGAGUGUAAGAAUGCAAUCUCGGCUUACAGCCGCCUCGACUUUCCAGGACUCCCUCAGGUGAUCUUCCUAUCUCAGCCUUCCAAGUGGCUGAGACUACAGGAAUCACUUAAUUCUGUGAUGUCGAAGCUGAAGUGAGCCGUGAUGAUGCCUUGCCCUCCAGUCUGAGUGUUUCAGAAGGUGGAGUUUCGCUCUUAUUGCCCAGGCUGGAGUUCAGUGGCGUGACCUCAGCUCACCGCAACCUCUGCCGCCUGUGUUCAAGAGAUUUUCCAGUCUUCACCCUUUCGAGUAGCUGAAACCACAGGCAAACACCUCCAGGCCUGGCUAAUUUUUUUUUUUUCAUAGAGACUAGGUAGCUCCAUAAUGGUCAGGCUGGUCUAGAACACCCAACCUGAGGCGUACCACCCAACUUGACCACCCAAAGUGCUGAGAUUAAAGGCGUGAGCUCCGCGUCUGGCCAUAACAUCUUAUCCUAUAGAAGCCCAGAGAGGUUAGGCGUCAUCUCACGUGUCGAGGUGAUCUCGAACUUUUAGGCUCCAGAGAUCCUCCCGCAUCGGCCUCCCGGAGUGCUGUGAUGACACGCGUGGGCACGACGGAGUUUCACUCUUGUCGCCCAGGGUGGAGUACGAUGGCGGCUCUCGGCUCACCGCACCCUCCGCCUCCCAGGUUCAAGUGAUUCUCCUGCCUCAGCCUUCCCGAGUAGCUGGAAUGACAGAGAUGAGCCAUCGUGCCCGGCUAAUUUUUCUAUUUUUACUACAGAUGGGGUUUCUCCAUCUUGGUCAGGCUGGUCUUCAACUUCCGACCGUUGGAGAAUCUUAACUUUCUUGGUGGUGGUUGUUUUCCUUUUUCUUUUUUUUCUUUUCUUUUCUUUCCUUCUCCUCCCCCCCCACCCCCCCUUGUCGUCGUCCUCCUCCUCCUCCUCCUCCUCCUCCUCCUCCUCCUCCUCCUCCUCCUCUUUCAUUUCUUUCAGCUGGGCUCUCCUACGUGUGUUGCUCUGUUGCUCACGCUGGUCUCAAACUCCUGGCCUUGACGCUUCUCCCGUCACAUCCGCCGUCUGGUUGUUGAAAUGAGCAUCUCUCGUAAAAUGGAAAAGAUGAAAGAAAUAAACACGAAGACGGAAAGCACGGUGUGAACGUUUCUCUUGCCGUCUCCCGGGGUGUACCUUGGACCCGGAAACACGGAGGGAGCUUGGCUGAGUGGGUUUUCGGUGCCGAAACCUCCCGAGGGCCUCCUUCCCUCUCCCCCUUGUCCCCGCUUCUCCCCCAGCCGAGGCUCCCACCGCCGCCCUGGCAUUUUCCAUAGGAGAGGUAUGGGAGAGGACUGACACGCCUUCCAGAUCUAUAUCCUGCCGGACGUCUCUGGCUCGGCGUGCCCCACCGGCUACCUGCCACCUUCCAGGGAGCUCUGAGGCGGAUGCGACCCCCACCCCCCCGUCACGUCCCGCUACCCUCCCCCGGCUGGCCUUUGCCGGGCGACCCCAGGGGAACCGCGUUGAUGCUGCCUUCGGAUCCUCCGGCGAAGACUUCCACCGGAUGCCCCGGGUGGGCCGGUUGGGAUCAGACUGGACCACCCCGGACCGUGCUGUUCUUGGGGCACACAGAUGAGACGCACGAGAGGGAGAAACAGCUCAAUAGAUACCGCUGACCUUCAUUUGUGGAAUCCUCAGUCAUCGACACACAAGACAGACGGAGUCUCGCUCUGGGCGGGGCGAGGCGAGGCGAGGCACAGCGCAUCGCUUUGGAAGCCGCGGCAACGCCUUUCAAAGCCCCAUUCGUAUGCACAGAGCCUUAUUCCCUUCCUGGAGUUGGAGCUGAUGCCUUCCGUAGCCUUGGGCUUCUCUCCAUUCGGAAGCUUUGACAGGCGCAACCCCACCCAGAGGCUGGCUGCGGCUGAGGAUUAGGGGGCUGCGGUGCGGUGGCGCUCUCUCGGCUCACUGAAACCUCUGCUUCCCGGGUUCCAGUGAUUCUUCUUCGGUAGCUGGGAUUACAGGCGCACACCAUGACGGCCGGCUCAUAUUCCUAUUUUCAGUAGAGACGGGGUUUCUCCACGUUGGCCACGCUGGUCUCGAACUCCUGACCUCAAAUGAUCCGCCUUCCUGGGCCUCCCAAAGUGCUGGAAACGACAGGCCUGAGCCGCCGGGAUUUCAGCCUUUAAAAGCGCGGGCCCUGCCACCUUUCGCUGUGGCCCUUACGCUCAGAAUGACGUGUCCUCUCUGCCGUAGGUUGACUCCUUGAGUCCCCUAGGCCAUUGCACUGUAGCCUGGGCAGCAAGAGCCAAACUCCGUCCCCCCACCUCCCCGCGCACAUAAUAACUAACUAACAAACUAACUAACUAACUAAACUAACUAAAUAAAUAAAAUCUCUACACGUC